UGGCAGAGAGGGCCAUUUGGAAGAGCAGUGCUCACUCUGAAAAGGGUCUGUUGCCAUUAAGUUACUUAAAAAUGAAAACCGCCUCUGGGUAUCUUUGACUGUUCCAGAAACUUUUGGGAGGACGUAAUUUCCCCUUGACUUUCCCACCAAGGUUCUUCAGCUAAGACUUUCCCACUUGAUUAGCGCCAUGUCUG